AACGAACGCUGGCGGCGUGCUUAACACAUGCAAGUCGAACGGAAAGUCCCUGCUUUUUUGGGGUGCUCGAGUUGCGAACGGGUAACUAACACUUGAGUAACCUCCCCUUGCCUUUGGGAUAUCUUCAUGACACUUGGUCUCAUACCGGAUAGGAUCUCCUGCUUCAUGGUGGGGGUUGGUUGGUUUCGCCGGUUGGUGAUGUACUCGCGUCUUAUCAGCUUGUUGGUUGGGUAGUGGAUAACCAAGGCUUGGACGGGUAGCAGUGCUGCGAGGGUGACCGGACACAUUGGGAUGGAGAUAAGGCACAGACUAGUAAGGGAGGCAGCAGAGGGGAAGAGUGAACAAUGGGAGGAAGCAUGAUGCAGCAAAGCAGCGUGGGGGAUGAGGGGAUUCGGGUUGGAAACCGCUUUCGCUUGUGACGAAGCGAGAGUGACGGUAAUGGGUAAAGAAGCACCGGCUAACUACGUG
rnacentral:rRNA from 1 species